UCCAGACUCCUACGGGAGGCAGCAGUGAGGAAUAUUGGUCAAUGGGCGGGAGCCUGAACCAGCCAAGCCGCGUGAAGGAAGAAGGCGCCAGGCGUCGUAAACUUCUUUUGUCGGGGAACAAAGGGCGCCACGCGUGGCGUUGUGAGUGUACCCGAAGAAAAAGCAUCGGCUAACUCCGUGCCAGCAGCCGCGGUAAUACGGAGGAUGCGAGCGUUAUCCGGAUUUAUUGGGUUUAAAGGGAGCGUAGGCGGCCCGGAAGGUCGGAGGAAAAAGCCCGGGGCUCCCCCCCGGCGAGCCGUUGAAACUGGCAGUCUCGAGUUGGAGAGAAGUAUGCGGAAUGCGCGGUGUAGCGGUGAAAUGCAUAGAUAUCGCGCAGAACUCCGAUUGCGAAGGCAGCAUGCCGGCUCCACACUGACGCUGAGGCACGAAAGCGUGGGUAUCGAACAGGAUUAGAUACCCUUGUAUG
rnacentral:rRNA from 1 species